rnacentral:lncRNA from 1 species
AAUACAAAAACAAUUAGCCGGGCAUAGUGGCACAUGCCUGUUACCCCAGCUACUGGGGAGGCUGAGGCGGGAGAAUCACUUGAACCCAGGAGGCAGAGGUUGCAGUGAGCCGAGAUUGCGCCAUGGCACUCCAGCCUGGGCAACACAGUGAGACACCAUCUCAAAAAAAUUUAAAAAUGCUUCCACAAAUAGGAGGAGAGACCAGGGAUUAGGGAGAAAGCAGCUACAGAUGCUCUCUGCCUCAAAGCCUGCAAACCGAUAACGAUGACCUCACCCACCCUCUGCCACCUCCAGUUUUGUUUUUCAGCGAGAGAAGCAGCAAAAAUUUUCAUAGAGACAGGGUCUUGUUAUGUUUCCCAGGCUGAUCUCAAACUCCUGGGUUCAAGUGAGCCUCCCUGCUCAGCCUCCCAAAGAGCUGGGAUUACAGGUGUGGCCCACUGCACUUAAAUAUUAACAUGCAGAACACACAGAAAACAAUUGCUCAGUUCACUGAAACACUGUAAAGAGAAUGACCUUAUAAUGACAACCAGGCGAAGACUUGGAAGAAGCCUUCACAGAGAGGUGACAUUUGGAGAGAGAGCCCCGCAGCCCUGCAGCCAUGCAGACUGCAGCCCACAGCCACGCAGCCAUGCAGGGAUCUGGGGACCGAGCUCC